rnacentral:rRNA from 1 species
AUACGGAGGAUGCGAGCGUUAUCCGGAUUCAUUGGGUUUAAAGGGAGCGUAGGCGGAAUAAUAAGUCAGGGGUGAAAGUUUGCGGCUCAACCGUAAAAUUGCCUUUGAUACUGUUAUUCUUGAGUACACGCGAGGUAUGCGGAAUGUGAUGUGUAGCGGUGAAAUGCUUAGAUAUAUCACAGAACACCGAUUGCGAAGGCAGCAUACUAGAGUGUCACUGACGCUGAUGCGCGAAAGCGUGGGUAUCGAACAGGAUUAGAAACCCCUGUAGUCC